UAGGGAAUCUUCCACAAUGGACGCAAGUCUGAUGGAGCAACGCCGCGUGAGUGAAGAAGGGUUUCGGCUCGUAAAGCUCUGUUGUUAAAGAAGAACGUGGGUAAGAGUAACUGUUUACCCAGUGACGGUAUUUAACCAGAAAGCCACGGCUAACUACGUGCCAGCAG
rnacentral:rRNA from 1 species